UGGAGUUCUUCGAAAAGAUGAGGCGUAU
rnacentral:piRNA from 1 species